ACAAUGCCCUCGGUAAAGACGUGAUGUUGACUGCUGUAUACAAACGUGUAAGAUUUACGAUUAAAACAGCCUUGUACAUCGCUCCUGAGGUUGGGUUUGACUAUUCUGAGGCUAUAUGACUUGCAUAAGGAGAUUGUGAUGUGGGUUCUUGCUUGAAGACUCAGGUUGGAGCAAAACUGUGCAGAGCUGCGGUCCUCCAAGAAUUGACUUUGACACCUAUGCCUUACUAGUAUCGGGUUGGACCCCAUUUGCCUUCAGAACUGCCAUAAUCCUUCGUGGCAUAGAUUC
rnacentral:lncRNA from 1 species